CUGCCCGAAAAAAUUUUCUAGGGUUCUGAGGCAACUUCUAAAAUGGAAUCCUCUGGUUCUUUGAGGAAAUUGUGGGUUCUUCAACGAAUAAAUUAAUGAAUUUGCAGAAUAGAUUGUAUCCCUAGCCUCUGUAUACCUUUGAUGUCGACCAAAGAGAUCGUCACGAGGUUGUUGACGCUUCUUCAAAUCAAUCUCCAGAUCAGUCAGAGAACAAGCUGAAAAUAAUGAUUUGUGGGAUUAUUCUAAAUUUUAUCAUCCAGAAAUUUGGGUAGAUUCACAAAUGGAUUUGAACUUAACAAAGCAGUCAACUAGAACUCACGGAGGUGUGCAUGUUGAAUCUGUUGAUUGACCUUCUUUUACACUAAAAAAAGGAAGUCAUUUUGAAAGAGAAGUCAUGACGAAUUAUGUAGUUUUGUUGAAGAAGAAGAAAAAGAGAAACUUUAGUAAAAUAUAGGGAUUAUGCAUUAGUUUCUUUUGUUAGUUAUGUGAAACACUUAUUUAGACAUGUCUCUGUGGUUAUAUUAUGGCGUGGUACAGUGUGAUGUUGCCAUUUGCCUAUAAAAAAUUAUUUAGCUGAAAUUAUAGCAAGUUAUGACACUUUUUUGAAGUAUUGAUGCUAUAAAUUGUUAUUUUG